UUUAUUGAGAGUUUGAUCCUGGCUCAGGACGAACGCUGGCGGCGUGCUUAACACAUGCAAGUCGAGCGAUGAAGUCUCUUCGGGGACGGAUUAGCGGCGGACGGGUGAGUAACACGUGGGUAACCUGCCUCAUAGAGGGGAAUAGCCUUCCGAAAGGAAGAUUAAUACCGCAUAAGAUUGUAGUUUCGCAUGAAGCAGCAAUUAAAGGAGUAAUCCGCUAUGAGAUGGACCCGCGUCGCAUUAGCUAGUUGGUGAGGUAACGGCUCACCAAGGCGACGAUGCGUAGCCGACCUGAGAGGGUGAUCGGCCACAUUGGGACUGA
rnacentral:ncRNA from 1 species